GAUGAACGCUGGCGGCGUGCCUAAUACAUGCCAGUCGAGCGAACGGACGAGAAGCUUGCUUCUCUGAUGUUAGCGGCGGACGGGUGAGUAACACGUGGAUAACCUACCUAUAAGACUGGGAUAACUUCGGGAAACCGGAGCUAAUACCGGAUAAUAUUUUGAACCGCAUGGUUCAAAAGUGAAAGACGGUCUUGCUGUCACUUAUAGAUGGAUCCGCGCUGCAUUAGCUAGUUGGUAAGGUAACGGCUUACCAAGGCAACGAUGCAUAGCCGACCUGAGAGGGUGAUCGGCCACACUGGAACUGAGACACGGUCCAGACUCCUACGGGAGGCAGCAGUAGGGAAUCUUCCGCAAUGGGCGAAAGCCUGACGGAGCAACGCCGCGUGAGUGACGAAGGUCUUCGGAUCGUAAAACUCUGUUAUUAGGGAAGAACAUAUGUGUAAGUAACUGUGCACAUCUUGACGGGACCUAAUCAGAAAGCCACGGCUAACUACGU
rnacentral:rRNA from 1 species